rnacentral:misc_RNA from 1 species
AAAGGAUGGUUAUGGUUCCCCUCUCGGUUCAUAGGAAUGGUGGCAGUAAAUGCUGGUUCAAGGCUCUCAUUUACGCUCUUAGUUGGCCUCUUCUGUCUUUUUGGCCUUUGUUGUUGCAUGCCAAUGUUUUGUGGAAACCCAUCUAUAUCAUCUUCCAAUAGUGAGUUGGGUGAUGCAGAUUGUAGAUUUUUUGGAUUCUUUUGAGGCCUUGAUCUUGGGGUUUGCUUGUCUGUGGAACCUUUCCUCUUUU